AGGGUGUCAGGGGUUAUAGAGGCAGUAGUAGUUGGAGUGUCAGGGGUUAUAGGAGCAGUAGUAGUUGGAGUGUCAGGGGUUAUAGGGGCAGUAGUAGUUGGAGUGUCAGGGGUUAUAGGGGCAGUAGUAGUUGGAGGGUCAGGGGUUAUAGGGGCAGUAGUAGUUGGAGGGUCAGGGGUUAUAGAGGCAGUAGUAGUUGGAGGGUCAGGGGUUAAAGGGGCAGUAUAAGUUGGAGUGUCAGGGGUUAUAGGAGCAGUAGUAGUUGGAGUGUCAGGGGUUAUAGGAGCAGUAGUAGUUGGAGUGUCAGGGGUUAUAGGAGCAGUAGUAGUUGGAGUGUCAGGGGUUAUAGGAGCAGUAGUAGUUGGAGUGUCAGGGGGUUAUAGGGGCAGUAGUAGUUGGAGUGUCAGGGGUUAUAGGAGCAGUAGUAGUUGGAGUGUCAGGGGUUAUAGGGGCAGUAGUAGUUGGAGUGUCAGGGGUUAUAGGAGCAGUAGUAGUUGGAGUGUCGGGGGUUAUAGGGGCAGUAGUUGUUGGAGGGUCAGGGGUUAUAGGGGCAGUAGUAGUUGGAGUGUCAGGGGUUAUAGGGGCAGUAGUAGUUGGAGUGUCAGGGGUUAUAGGGGCAGUAGUAGUUGGAGUGUCAGGGGUUAUAGGGGCAGUAGUAGUUGGAGGGUCAGGGGUUAUAGGGGCAGUAGUAGUUGGAGUGUCGGGGGUUAUAGGGGCAGUAGUAGUUGGAGUGUCAGGGGUUAUAGAGGCAGUAGUAGUUGGAGUGUUAAGGGUUAUAGGAGCAGUAGUAGUUAGGGUGUCAGAUGUUAUAGAGGCAGUAGUAGUUGGAGUGUCAGGGGUUAUAGAGGCAGUAGUAGUUGGAGGGUCAGGGGUUAUAGGGGCAGUAGUAGUUGGAGUGUCGGGGGUUAUAGGGGCAGUAGUAGUUGGAGUGUCAGGGGUUAUAGGAGCAGUAGUAGUUGGAGGGUCAGGGGUUAUAGGGGCAGUAGUAGUUGGAGUGUCAGGGGUUAUAG
rnacentral:lncRNA from 1 species